rnacentral:rRNA from 1 species
UCAGUCGACUCCUACGGGGAGGCAGCAGUGGGGAAUAUUGCACAAUGGGGGAAACCCUGAUGCAGCCAUGCCGCGUGUGUGAAGAAGGCCUUCGGGUUGUAAAGCACUUUCAGUAGGGAGGAAGGUAGUGUAGUUAACACCUGCACUAUUUGACGUUACCUACAGAAGAAGCACCGGCUAACUCCGUGACCAGCAGCCGCGGUAAUACGGAGGGUGCGAGCGUUAAUCGGAAUUACUGGGCGUAAAGCGCAUGCAGGCGGCCUGUUAAGUCAGAUGUGAAAGACCCGGGGCUUAACCUCGGAAUUGCAUUUGAAACUGGCAGGCUAGAGUCUUGUAGAGGGGGGUAGGAAUUUCAGGUGUAGCGGUGAAAUGCGUAGAGAUCUGAAGGAAUACCAGUGGCGAAGGCGGCCCCCUGGACAAAGACUGACGCUCAGAUGCGAAAGCGUGGGGAGCAAACAGGAUUAGAUACCCUGGUAG